ensembl:lncRNA
CCCAAGUACUUUCCUUAGGAAGCUCUGCUAGAAAGAGCUGGAAUGGGCAUAACCAAAGCUUCCUGGAAGAGCAGAUCACUGAAGAAAGAAACUGUGCUGGUUGCAGAAGACUUGCCUUGGAUUCUGAGUGUUCAAAGAUGUGACAUGGCUCCUGGAAUCAGACUGUCUAGGUGAAACAGUGCCGUUAUUAGAGGUGAUGUUCAGAAUGGACAACCACAUGGGCAAGGCAUCCAAGCCUUAGGCUGGAGCUGGGAUCUGGACCACCUGAGGGAGCAACACAUUAACUCUUUGUCUGCUGGACCCUGAGAAGCCCGGCAGGAUGAGCGACCCCAGGGAAGUGCCCAGAAUGGUCAGGACAGUGGGGCAUACUCUUUCCCAACAGCUCAGGGCUCCUGAGCCAGCUCAUUGGAGAGAUGGGCCUUGCCUCUACCUGUGUAUCUGCCUGGCUGCUUUCAACAUGGUCCUCCGAUCAGCAGCAUAGCACCAUCCUGUUAGCAAUGCAGCAUCUUGGGCCCCAGACCUACUGAAUCAGAAGCAGUACUUGGAGAAGAUGCCCAGCUGAUUGGUUGUCACAUUGCAUUUUGAGAAGUGCAAACUUCAAGGAACCUCCAGGCACAAAGUGGUGUUCUGUGAGCAUAGCUGGACCAUGGAUUCAUGGGCAGCUGCAGGCUCCAAACCAGGGCAAGGCAAACACAGCAUUCUUCAGAGUCUGUGUAAUUGUUCUUCUUUCAGUUUGUAAAUAUGGG